GUGAAGAACGUAGCGAAAUGCGAUAAUUAAUGUGAUUUGCAGAAUUCCGUGAAUCAUCGAGUCUUUGAACGCACAUUGCGCCUCAUGGCAUUCCGUGAGGCAUGCCCAUCUCAGCGUUAGAAAAUAUUCUCAAAUUUUAGUUUUGUGCUAAAAUUUGGAUCAUGUCAAGGAAGCUAUUACUAUUAUUGUGAUCGCUCUUUGGAAAUUGAUAGGUCUUUGAGUUGCUACUCAUAGAACGUGAUGAAUCUUUCUUCGUUCUAUUGUAAUUCACUCUGGUAGUCCUAAAACUUGUAUGCCUGUGGCAUAUCUUGUAAUUUGACCUGAGAUUGGGUAGGGAUACCCGCUGAACUUAAGCAUAUCAAUAAGCGGAGGA
rnacentral:misc_RNA from 1 species